rnacentral:rRNA from 1 species
CCUACGGUGUGCAGCAGUGAGGAAUAUUGGUCAAUGGACGAGAGUCUGAACCAGCCAAGUAGCGUGAAGGAUGACUGCCCUAUGGGUUGUAAACUUCUUUUAUAAAGGAAUAAAACAAGGCACGUGUGCCUUUUUGCAUGUACUUUAUGCACAAGGAUCGGCCAACCCCGUGCCAGCAGCCGCGGGAAUACGGAGGAUCCGAGCGUUACCCGGAUUUAUGGGGUUUAAAGGGAGCGUAGAUGGGUUGUUAAGUCAGUUGUGAAAGUUUGCGGCUCAACCGUAAAAUUGCAAGUGAUACUGGCAGUCUUGAGUACAGUUGAGGUAAGCGGAAUUCGUGGUGUAGCGGUGAAAUGCUUAGAUAUCACGAAGAACCCCGAUUGCGAAGGCAGCUUACUAAACUGUGACUGACAUUGAUGCUCGAAAGUGUGGGUAUCAAACAGGAUUAGAUACCCCUGUAGUC